AUUAUUAUGGACCCUAUUGUAAAACUUCCAAGUAAAGGGAACGUGCUCAUUUAUUCUGGACGCGAUCGUAGGAGUGCAACUCUAAAAGCCUUGCACUCAGCCGACUGCCCAUGCGCAGCUGUUGCAUUCCAAAGCUUUUUAUUUGCCAAAAAUAAGCUUUCCUAAUCUAAUUAGAUUUCCGGCUUAAGCAGAUGAUUUAUUUCUGCUCAAGUCUUACUCAAGAUCGGAUGCACGUCGCUCUAAAGCACUUAUAAUAUUUAAUAAGGUCACGUGUUAGACCCAAAAUAUUUAAUCGGAAGACAUCGUCUCCAUAUAAAAACUGUGCGAUUUAUUCGAGGUGUCGGACUAUUUUAAAACCCCCACCUAAGCGCGCCGCCGUGAUUAUUUUGAUUGUUUUUAUAUUUUGGUGCAAUUUGGCAUUUACACCAGUGAAACUGCCUCGACAUAUAUUGGUGGCUUUUGUUUUGGGCUACCAACGCAUUUGCGAAAUUUUGGUACGCUUACCUAGCCCAGAUCGCAGCGUCGGCGCUAGGAACACGUGUGUUAAGGCCCAGCAUGGGCAGGCGUUAGAGACACGCCCGGCUAGCUCAGUUGCUAGAGCAUGAACUGAUGCUAGAGCCCAACACCAGCUCUACUGAACCCCAGAAUUUGACUCCAAUGCGCGCACUAUAAGCUGAUCUUUCGUAUUAAAACAUGGCGCUUGCCAAAUCCACCUCCAGUUCAAAUGGUUUUAGAUCUGACUGCACCUAAUUGAAAGAGACACACAGACCACAAUCUUUGUAUCGAUGGGAUAAGUCAUAUUUGCAAAUAAUCUUAAUUUAAUAGGUUAAAUCUAAUUCUGUUUUCUUUUUACGUCUUAUAAAGCCUCGGUGCGCUAUGAGUGUAUUGUUGCAAACAUAAUAUGCCAAUUUGUACCAACAGCCAAUCAUCGUCAACAGGCCUGCUGACAUCGAUGGACUCUGAAUGUUGUAAGUACGGCACAGUCGAAAAUAUUAAGUGUAAAAGGUCAUAAAUUGAGUGCAACAAUAGCAUAGCAAUCCGCUAGAAAACGUUUGUUUACUUAAAACGCCUAUAAUUGAAUGCGGCGUACAUUUUGUUAGUAUACUUAACUAUUCACCUUUAUUCUUGUAUAUAUCACUUCCUAAUUAUAAGUAAUUUUGUAAAAACACUUCUUAUUUUCCUUAUCUUACUUAAACUUCCUAUCUUAAUCAAUAUGAAUUGUUUCUAAAGAUGAA